rnacentral:hammerhead_ribozyme from 1 species
UGCUGAGGAGUCCCACAAUAGGACGAAACGAUCUUCCA